GGUGGUAUGGUCUAGUGGUAUGACGUUACGUUGUGGGUCUCACGGUCCAGUUCCGUACCAGCCUGGGUUCGAUUCCGUAAGUUGCGCAA